GGGGUAUCCAGAGUCACUCCAACCCAAUGUGAACCAUACCAAACUGUUGCCUCGGCGGGGUCACGCCCCGGGUGCGUCGCAGCCCCGGAACCAGGCGCCCGCCGGAGGGACCAACCAAACUCUUUCUGUAGUCCCCUCGCGGACGUUAUUUUUACAGCUCUGAGCAAAAAUUCAAAAUGAAUCAAAACUUUCAACAACGGAUCUCUUGGUUCUGGCAUCGAUGAAGAACGCAGCGAAAUGCGAUAAGUAAUGUGAAUUGCAGAAUUCAGUGAAUCAUCGAAUCUUUGAACGCACAUUGCGCCCGCCAGUAUUCUGGCGGGCAUGCCUGUCCGAGCGUCAUUUCAACCCUCGAACCCCUCCGGGGGGUCGGCGUUGGGGACUUCGGGAACCCCUAAGACGGGAUCCCGGCCCCGAAAUACAGUGGCGGUCUCGCCGCAGCCUCUCAUGCGCAGUAGUUUGCACAACUCGCACCGGGAGCGCGGCGCGUCCACGUCCGUAAAACACCCAACUUCUGAAAUGUUGACCUCGGAUCAGGUAGGAAUACCCGCUGAACUUAAGCAUAUCAAA
rnacentral:rRNA from 1 species